GAUGAACGCUGGCGGCGUGCUUAACACAUGCAAGUCGAACGGUGAAGCCAAGCUUGCUUGGUGGAUCAGUGGCGAACGGGUGAGUAACACGUGAGCAACCUGCCUUGGACUCUGGGAUAAGCGCUGGAAACGGCGUCUAAUACUGGAUAUGAGCUCUCAUCGCAUGGUGGGGGUUGGAAAGAUUUUUCGGUCUGGGAUGGGCUCGCGGCCUAUCAGCUUGUUGGUGAGGUAAUGGCUCACCAAGGCGUCGACGGGUAGCCGGCCUGAGAGGGUGACCGGCCACACUGGGACUGAGACACGGCCCACACUCCUACGGGAGGCAGCAGUGGGGAAUAUUGCACAAUGGGCGGAAGCCUGAUGCAGCAACGCCGCGUGAGGGAUGACGGCCUUCGGGUUGUAAACCUCUUUUAGCAGGGAAGAAGCGAGAGUGACGGUACCUGCAGAAAAAGCGCCGGCUAACUACGUGCCAGCAGCCGCGGUAAUACGUACGGCGCAAGCCGUUAUCCGGAAUUAUUGGGCGUAAAGAGCUCUAGGCGGUUUGUCGCGUCUGCUGUGAAUCCCGAGGCUCAACCUCGGGGGCCUGCAGUGGGUACGGGCAGACUAGAGUGCGGUAGGGGAGAUUGGAAUUCCUGGUGUAGCGGUGGAAUGCGCAGAUAUCAGGAGGAACACCGAUGGCGAAGGCAGAUCUCUGGGCCGUAACUGACGCUGAGGAGCGAAAGGGUGGGGAGCAAACAGGCUUAGAUACCCUGGUAGUCCACCCCGUAAACGUUGGGAACUAGUUGUGGGGACCAUUCCACGGUUUCCGUGACGCAGCUAACGCAUUAAGUUCCCCGCCUGGGGAGUACGGCCGCAAGGCUAAAACUCAAAGGAAUUGACGGGGACCCGCACAAGCGGCGGAGCAUGCGGAUUAAUUCGAUGCAACGCGAAGAACCUUACCAAGGCUUGACAUACACCAGAACACCGUAGAAAUACGGGACUCUUUGGACACUGGUGAACAGGUGGUGCAUGGUUGUCGUCAGCUCGUGUCGUGAGAUGUUGGGUUAAGUCCCGCAACGAGCGCAACCCUCGUUCUAUGUUGCCAGCACGUAAUGGUGGGAACUCAUGGGAUACUGCCGGGGUCAACUCGGAGGAAGGUGGGGAUGACGUCAAAUCAUCAUGCCCCUUAUGUCUUGGGCUUCACGCAUGCUACAAUGGCCGGUACAAAGGGCUGCAAUACCGUGAGGUGGAGCGAAUCCCAAAAAGCCGGUCCCAGUUCGGAUUGAGGUCUGCAACUCGACCUCAUGAAGUCGGAGUCGCUAGUAAUCGCAGAUCAGCAACGCUGCGGUGAAUACGUUCCCGGGUCU
rnacentral:rRNA from 1 species